rnacentral:rRNA from 1 species
GGGAACUGAAACAUCUAAGUACCCAUAGGAAAGGACAUCAACCGAGACUCCGUUAGUAGCGGCGAGCGAACGCGGACCAGGCCAGUGGCAAUAGUAAGAAAAGCGGAAGCGUCUGGAAAGUCGUGCCGUAGUGGGUGAUAGCCCCGUACGCGUUAAUCGAUCUAUUGUCCUCGAGUAGGGCGGAACACGUGAAAUUCUGUCUGAACAUGGGGGGACCACCCUCCAAGCCUAAGUACUCCUUACCGACCGAUAGUGAACUAGUACCGUG